AUUGAACGCUGGCGGCAUGCCUUACACAUGCAAGUCGAACGGUAACGCGGGGCAACCUGGCGACGAGUGGCGAACGGGUGCGUAAUGCAUCGGAACGUGCCCAUUAGCGGGGGGUAGCCCGGCGAAAGCCGGCUUAAUACCGCAUACGACCUACGGGAGAAAGCGGGGGAUCGCAAGCCCUCGCGCUAUUGGAGCGGCCGAUGUCAGAUUAGGUAGUUGGUGGGGUAAAGGCCUACCAAGCCUGCGAUCUGUACCUGGCCUGAGAGGACGACCAGCCACACUGGGACUGAGACACGGCCCAGGCUCCUACGGGAGGCAGCAGGGGGGAAUUUUGGACAAUGGGGGCAACCCUGAUCCAGCCAUGCCGCGUGCGGGAAGAAGGCCUUCGGGUUGUAAACCGCUUUUGUCGGGGAAGAAAUCUUCCGGGCUAAUACCCCGAAGGGAUGACGGUACCCGGAGAAUAAGCACCGGCUAACUACGUGCCAGCAGCCGCCGUAA
rnacentral:rRNA from 1 species